CCUCAUGGGUUCCUUUUAUAGGCGAAGUUUGCGUAUUGAUUGGUUGCCACGUGUCGUCUUCUGAUUGUGCCGACACUCGGCUUGCUACGUGUCGUCUUCUGAUUGUGCCGACACUUUGCUUGCUACGUGUCGAGUCUUGGUUGGCUGAUGGAGACCUUUGUCGUGUUGCUUCAAAGUCUCCAGGUGGGUCCCAUGCUUGUCUCAUGUGGGUCCCUUGAUGGUGAUGUCUUGGAUGCUUAUACAGAUAUACUCUGUAUAAUUAUUUUGUACCUAAUACAAAUAUAGAAAGUCGAAAAGAAAAUAAUUU
rnacentral:lncRNA from 1 species